rnacentral:rRNA from 1 species
AUUGAACGCUGGCGGCAUGCUUUACACAUGCAAGUCGAACGGUAACAGCACUUCGGUGGCUGACGAGUGGCGAACGGGUGAGUAAUACAUCGGAACGUGCCUAGUAGUGGGGGAUAACUACUCGAAAGAGUAGCUAAUACCGCAUGAGAUCUAAGGAUGACAGCAGGGGACCUUCGGGCCUUGCGCUACUAGAGCGGCUGAUGGCAGAUUAGGUAGUUGGUGGGAUAAAAGCUUACCAAGCCGACGAUCUGUAGCUGGUCUGAGAGGACGACCAGCCACACUGGGACUGAGACACGGCCCAGACUCCUACGGGAGGCAGCAGUGGGGAAUUUUGGACAAUGGGCGCAAGCCUGAUCCAGCAAUGCCGCGUGCAGGAUGAAGGCCUUCGGGUUGUAAACUGCUUUUGUACGGAACGAAAAGCCCUCUUCUAAUACAGGAGGGUCAUGACGGUACCGUAAGAAUAAGCACCGGCUAACUACGUG